AGUGAACCAAAACCAAAAUGGAAGCAUACAAUACCAAUAAUAACAAUAACAAUGAUAAUAAUAAUAAUAAACAUUUAGAAGGUGCAGAAACAUUCAUACAUUUCAUGUAAAAAUUGUCCUUACCAAUAAGUCAUUUACUUAAAACAGUAUAAAGUGCGCUCAAUUCAACUUGUAGACCACUGAACAGUCCUUAGGAUUAGGAACAGAUAAUAUCUACCGGUACAUAAUUAUUUUAAGUCACUUCUUAAGUAGUGAUUAUAAGUAAACUGAAAACAGCAAACAAAAUUAAUGACAAAAUAAUAGGGCUCCAUUUAGUAUCCAAUUGUUUUGAACAGCUGUUUAGUGGGUGUCUCGGGUAUUACCAUCCCUUUGGAUAAGAUUUAAAAGGAAACAUCAUUAGUUAAUUAAUAUAAUAUAAAAAUAAACAUAACUCGUAUAUCAAUGAGAAAUCUA